rnacentral:rRNA from 1 species
AACGCGAAGAACCUUACCUGGUCUUGACAUCCUAGGAACCUCGCAGAGAUGGGGGGGUGCCUUCUGGAACCUGGACACAGGUGGCGCGUGGGUGGUCUCCUCUUGUGGCGUGAGAUUGUGGGUUAACUCCCGCCACGAGCGCCACCCUUGCCCUUUUUUGCCAACAUUCAGUUGGGAACUCUUGAGGGACCGCCGGGGACAAACCGGAGGAAGGUGGGGAUGACGUCAAGUCAUCAUGGCCCUUAUGACCAGGGCUACACACAUGCUACAAUGGCCAGUACAAAGGGUUGCCANCCCGCGAGGGGGAGCCAAUCCCAAAAAGCUGGUCGUAGUUCGUAUCGCAGUCUGCAACUCCGCUGCCUGAAGUCGGAAUCGCUAGUAAUCGUGAAUCAACCAUGUCACGGUGAAUACACUUCCCGGGUCUUGUACACACCG